GUAAAUGUUCCCAGUAGCUGCAGCUCUGGUCUGAGUCUCCUCCUGUGUGGACUGAAGCUGGAGGACACGGUGCUCAAUGGAGGCAGUGACAGGAAAACAAGCAGAGGUGGCAGAAGAGAGCAGGGCACAAAGAAACACGACAGACUCCAGAUCACAGAGAGAACAAAGAGGUGCACCAAACGUCUGAACUCUUUUGUCCCCAGAUUGUGCAUCCAGGGAAAAUCAGUCAUAUCAGCAGCACAACAUCUACAGUUUGCCAUCUCGGACUCUCCACCUCCAGCGCUGACACCUGUCGGGAGCAGGAACGCAGCGCAGCCACAGACAGGACUCUUUGAUCUCUUGCUCAAAGGACACGAUCUUCCUGUCCAGCGUCUCCAAAGUGAAGGCUUUCCCUGAGAUCUGUUAAUGACAGCUGUGCAUUAUCUUGAUACUUUUGCGUGGCUGUGGUGGAGCGGGUCGUCCAUCAAUCAGAAGAUCAGUGGUUCAAACCCCGGCUCCUCCAGUUUGCAUGUCGAAGUAUCCUUGGGCAAGAUACUGAAUGCUCCCGAUGGCUGUUCCAUCAGUGUAUGAAUGGGGUCUUUGCUGCUGCUCUCCCUGCCUUAGACUUUCCAUGUAGGCGCAUGGAAGGUCAGGGAGGUGUGCUACCUCAGCCUCAGGCUUUCCAUGUAAGGGCUUUCUGCCUAGGCCUGAGGAAAAGCAGAGGGGCUCCAGAAGAGAGCCAUACUGCCAAAUAUAAUACUGCACAUGGAAAUAAAGUUUUCUUUGACUGAAGUGGUCCUGACUGAAUUAAUAUUUUGGCAAUUUUGUUCCCCUACAGUUUCAGAGCGGUAGACCACUGUUGUAUAUAUAUUCGCCUGCAAGACUGCAAACUGUUUAUAUGACCCUGACGUAAGCUGUAGUGAUAUGUCUCAUGGCUAACAGGCAAACGUCUACAACCUGACAGCAGAGUGUAUAUCCCUGCCAAUGUUAUUUAUGAAAGAUUGUGACAUGAGCUGUAACCUUAUCUGUGUCAUCCCCGUCUCACUGAGUCUCAUGGACAGCCUUACAGGUUCAUCUGUGGACAAGCUGAAGCUGAAAAUCGAACAUCAGAAGAAGAAGAGCCAUGUCGGCUGACGUGAAAGAUUUUGCACAAAUAUGACUCGGCACAGUUUUAUCUAUUGUGACAUUGGAGAUGAACACACACAAAAUAAAUGACAGAAAGUUUGCUAAGCUUCUGAAUGUGACUUUUGGCAUCCAGAAAAACCCAGAACUCAGUGAGACAGGGAUGACACAAAUGAGGCGACAGCAUAUGUCACAAUCUCUCAUGAAUAACAUCGACAGGGAUGUACACUGUGUGAUUGUCGUAUUUCUUUAGUUAGCCAUGAGACAGAUCACUGCAGCUCACAUCAGGACAGUAAUGUUACAAACACUUUGUAACCCUGCAUUCAUCCGUUUGUUAGUUUACUUUUGUCCGGCCUGCUCGGUCACUCUCUCUUUUUCUCUUAUUCGUUUCCUCUGUGAAUCCUUUACUUUUUGGGCUGAUCGCUACUGCCAUGAUGUUCGUAAUAAGAAAACCGAGCUAGCUUCAUGGUAUCAAAAGACAACAUCAGCCACAACAACUACAGCCAAACUAGCUAGUGCCAUAAAUUGUUACGCUUUGGUGAUCCACUUCGUUUAUCAAAGGGACAUAGUGCACGAACAGCCGUUUGGGGUGCUGAGUGGGAAGGAUAGAGUCACUAUUCUCCCUGUUACAAGUCAGUGUAGCAUCAAGAUAGAACAGAAUAGAAUAGAAUAGAAUAGAAUAGAAGGAACUUUAUUUAUCCCAAAGGGAAAUUCAGCAAUUGAUUGAUUUAGCAGAUUAUAAUAAAGCUUUUAUUUUAAUUUAAAAAGUUACAUAAAGUUGCUUUAAAGAUACUAAAACUUCCAUACACACUUUAAUUUUGUCACGUUGUAAUUAGUACAAUGCACUUUUUACCUGCCUUAAUUGAAAAGCCUAAAGGCCGUAACACAAGCCAACAGUUGUUGGGCUGUUGGUGAGAGUCUAAGGCCCUUGUUGAUGCUAGUCAGCUUUUUUCCGCCUAUUCAGUUGGCAAAGUAAAGCCUGAUUCACUAUGAUUGGCAGUUUGACUUAGCACACGGAAACAGAAACAGAAGUGAGGAAAGUAAACAAACAGCUUAAGUCACGAGGGAGUGAGACGAAAACAAAGUUGUUAGAUAAGGUCAGAUUAUUUUUCUUUAUCCACUGAGCUCUUUAGCAGAAAUGUUUCCUGAUGGUUUGUGUCAUUGUUCUUUCACGCACAGUAAAUAUACUGUUCUUUCAACAUUGCAUUGUGUUGUUAAUGUGCUAACUGGCUAACUAGCGUCAAGAUGAACUUCCACUUUUUGAAUGAUGAUUACAGAUGACCACUGUCUGCUGGUAUGGAAGGGUAUGUCUUCUCACGCAGGAACAGAACGUACGUACUUGUUGGUGUGUUCAUGUGCAUUUUUUUGGUUGAGAAGUUUGGUGUGUCUGGGCCUGGAGACUGAGAGGCUUUUAACUGGGACAAAGAGAUCACAUUACUUUUGUUUUAGCCUCUCUAGAUUAGCUGCCUCUUCAUUUUAGAAAUGAUUAUUAGAUAUUUUACUGCUAAACAUUUAAAGCGUUGCAUUUUGCUACAUCACUGAAAGGUUCUCCACGUGACCUUUGCUGAGUGUUUGUCCUCUCUCAAAUCACUUCUCAGAUCAUACUUUUACUGCAGAGCUAACCCUGAUAUUCAGCUUUCUUUUAUUGAGUUAUUUUAACCACUUUGUUUAAAGCCUGUCUUAUCUUCUUGAUUUUAUUGUUGCCAUAGUCUGUGCUCAUUACACUGUUGUAGUUUCCUGUUCUUGUUGUAUGUUGUUAAAUUCAAAAAUUUUUGUUUUCUGUGUAAAGUACUUAAUUUUGUUGCAGUAUUUCUUUAUAUCAUUUCUUUUUUAUGUUUUAAAGCACUUAACCUUUGUUUGGAAAGUGCUCUAAUAUGCUUUUGGUUAUCAUCAUUAUUAUAAACAAUAAA